rnacentral:rRNA from 1 species
UACGUAGGGACCAAGCGUUGUCCGGAAUCAUUGGGCGUAAAGCGCGCGUAGGUGGCCAUUUAAAGUCCGCUGUGAAAGUCAAAGGCUCAACCUUUGAAAGCCGGUGGAUACUGGGUGGCUAGAGUACGGAAGAGGCGAGUGGAAUUCCUGGUGUAGCGGUGGAAUGCGCAGAUAUCAGGAGGAACACCAAUAGCGAAGGCAGCUCGCUGGGACGUUACUGACACUGAGGCGCGAAAGCGUGGGGAGCGAACAGG